rnacentral:lncRNA from 1 species
UUAUUCAUUUGUAUGGUGAAUGUUUAGUCCUCUUUAGUUGAAACCACAUACACGAAGAGAAUUUGAGAUGCUUUUUAGUUGAAAUUACAGUCCUUUAGAUGUCAGCUUCUCACCUCCUUAACCUGUUCAUUUUUAUUGAAUUAAAUUGGACAUUACACAGCUUUCUGGCCCUGACGCUCACACAUCUCCAGGGCAAUAUCCUCAUUAUUCCUUUAAAAACAGCACAGAAUUAAUUACAGAGCUAUGCAACCAGUCACCACAUUUGGAACCAUCUAAUGAAGGAUUCCUCCACUAUCCCAUGCUCAGCAUUGCUCACUGCUUUUGAUACUAUAUCUUCUGAUAUCAUAAAUUCCUCCGGCACUCAGGAACACCUUUGUAGUAGGCAUUGAAAAGAAGCCAGCCUUCAGAACAGCUCUUUCAGGACCUUUCAUGAAUCAAAGUAUACGUGAACACACGUGCCUGGAAAUUAGCAAAGGGAAGGAGCUAAUCCUGUCAUCUCAGAUUACAAAUACGUUUCUUGCCCUCCCACAACUUUUUUUAGGAGUCAUGGAUUUUAAGGAUAAAAAUCUUCAUUAGCACUUCAUGAUGUGUUUCAAGUAAGCUUUUUAGGUGUAACCUAAAUAUAUAUAACCUAGCAUACUUAAAAAAAACAAUGAACAGUAAUACCAAGAAGUGAGGCAAAUAACUACUGGUGUAUUGAGUGACCACUAUAUAGAGAGAAGACCCGUGUUACUUUAAAAUAGAGUGUGCCGUGGGCUGUCCAGCUCCCCUGGUGUGCUAGCAAUGUGAGUGGAGCCAGCUGUGUCCUGAGCAAUCCCAGUGACAGCGCUCUGCCAGUCUGUCCUUAGAGAUCUCAAAAGUCUUGGCAAAAAGUUCAAUGAGCUGUGCUAGUGUUUUUACUCUUCAACAGGAUUCACACAAAACCCCAACUGGGAGUAAGCAUUUCUGGUUUUUUGAGAUGGAAAGCAAAAAGGUGGCUCUUCCCUGCUCACGGCACAAAUUGUGGCAGCGUGUGGCCUAUGGCAACGCUGGCUUUGCUGUGCCGGUACCGCAGAACUGCAUCCUCGGCUGAAGCUGUGGUGUUAACAGCAACAGCAAGGGCUCACCUGUGUUUCUGAGGAUCUGAAUACAGCUCAAAAUAUUGGCAAGAGGUGUACUGAUAAGUCUAGCCACAUAGACUGGUAUUCUUUCUGCAUAGCUUCUGACAAACUGGCUAGAGCUGAUGUCACCCAGUCUUUGAUGCCCAGGUGGCAUAUAAAGCCCCCCUAUCCCCACGACACCCACAGAGGAGCUCUGUGAUGCUGCAGCACAUUGGCCUUCUUCACAUACGGCACAAAAUGCAUCUUGCACUCAUGUGGCCUAACAGACUCUGGCAGUUACUACGCUGAAAUUUGAAAACAGCUUUUUGUGUUAGGAUCGUGGUUUUGAAGCUGAUGUGCCGCCCUUCAGCCAAAUCCUGACAUCAGCCUCCAUUCAAUUCCUCUCUGGAAGCAGCUGUCGGCAGCUCAGUGACUGCACCCACCCCUGCCAAGAGCAGAAGCAGCACACAGCGUGUCUCAAGCUCACAUCUCCCAUUCAGAGAUGAACUGAUUGUUUUCGUCAGUCUGUCGGACUCCCCAUGUUCAGGCACGGCCUUGGAAUAAUGUUUUUUUUCCCAGAAAUUAACCAUUGUCAUUUCAUGGCUGUUGACAUCUUCAGCUCUGGAGAUCUCGGUACCUGCCCCUGAAUGUGACGGCGUGAUGGCCCAGGGACAAAAACACAUCAGUGCUCGGAAAACAAGGAGCUGUCCUGCCUGCCAGAAUGUCAGCCACAUUUCUAAAAGCCUCUCAAAUGUGUAUUGUGACUGCUGCAUGUCUUCGGUGCUGCCAGCAUCUGGUUUUGGAACAGGGGAGCAGAGCCAAGAGGCUCAGAAGACAAUGAAAGGAAACUGGUCUGCAACCUUGAAUGAACUUAGUUUCAAAGAAGCAUUCAUACACCCACAGAGGAUUGGUCCAGCUGAAUCAGAUUGGCUGGUUUUAUCAGUGAACUAACAGGGAGAGCAAGGAGUAAGAAGAAGAAGGCUGUUAAUGGCUGAGAAAAGGAAGGGUAUGCAUUAAAAUGACUUUCUUCAGAAAUCAGAAUGCAGGUAUGAUUUUCAGACCAUAAUGAGAACAUUAUUUGUACUAAAUUACUUGCAUAACAGAUGCUGGGUAGAACAGAUACUAAGAGAGCUUAAUCCACUGCAUUAGCCAUAAGCUGCUGGGAAAGUCUUAGCAUAAGAUUAGCAAAGGAUAGGGCAUACCCUAAGACAAACGGUCAGUAGGGAAGGCAGACACUGCAAGGGGCAGAGCUGGCCGGCUGGCUCUGUUCCGGGAAGGACGUCUGUGAGGCUAUUUUAGGUGGACAAAUCUACCAGCUUAACUCUACUGAAAGGGCAGGAAUAAAAUUAAUCUUUUCUACAUUCUGUGGACUUAGAGACACUAUAGACUGCACACUUCACCAACAAAAUAUUUGAUUCCUCUUUUAUCCGGACACCACACAACGGUCAGGAAGUAGUUCCCUGGUUUUGUGCUCCGACUUAUGCUUUGGGAUAUACAUGCAUGAAAAUACGUUGGUAGAAAACGCAGUACUGUCUUAUCUCUUCUUAGCAAGUUCAUUCACACCUUGCCACUCGUCAAUAGCUCACAGCCUAGCGACCAUCAUGCAAGGUGUCACUUGAGCAAAACAGACAGAAUGUUCGCUAGCCAUAGCAGUACCUCUUGACAGAAACAGAUAACAGCACGUUUCUCUCAGACAGCCCCAAGCUGUGGAUCCCAAUGAAACAAGGCUCUGGUUUCACAGCUGCAGGUGGGUGUCUCCAUGCUACAACACAGAGUCCUGCAUCUCUCACUGCUGCUCGCUGGCAGCUCAGCAUGUUGGUAUUUUUGGUCACUAGGUGCCCCACACCUGCCCCUGUGUCCUGUGCAGGGACCUGACUCCAAGUCUUGGGCUCCAUCUUGGACUCUGGGCUGCUGCACCUCUGAGGUGGCUGCUGUGGUGAGCACAGCUCAGUUGAUAGUGUCUCCAGCCAGAAGCCAUUUGCCUGUAGUCCUCAGGGAAGUCUGUGGUGAACUGAACCCAGCUCCAUCACAUUCCAGUCCAAGUGCCACAGGCAUCCCCCAAGGAUCCCACGCCUUUUCCCAGACCAUUCCCCCCAGUUCCCUAAUCGCUGUUGCUGCUUUCUGCAUGGACCCUGUGGCUUUGGUUGUACAGGUUUGCCUAAAACCAGGAACAACUUUUAAACUGCAGGGUUAAGAACGCAUUUUAUGCCUUCUUUAUUAUUAGGCACACUCAACACUGCCACCAUCACUGUAAAGAAUUCCUCUCCUACUACUUCUUAGUUGAAUAGGACUUAGUUGAGUAGUCUUUCAUCGGUGGCACCAAACCACACCGUUCUGCUUUCUGCCACAGAGAAAAUAAAAUGUCUCCUUCAAGGAAAAAAGAAAGCAAUGCAUGUACCCUCGUAAUGAGCAGCUUACGUUUUUUAAGCAUGCCGAAUCCAGCUGAGUGUUUGCAUUUGUAGGCGUGCAGUCAGGAUGCUAAUAGUUCCCAGUGGGCUUUCCUAUGGGCUUCUCAAAAUAACUAGGGAACUAA